GUGGGUAGUCCGCACGAGCGCACCUCACUUUUAGUUGCCAUCAUUAAGUUGGGCACUCUGAAAGAACUGCCAGUGAUAAGCUGGAGGAAGGUGGGGAUGACGUCAAGUCCUCAUGGCCCUUACGUGUUGGGCUACACACGUGCUACAAUGGCAUCUACAACAGGAAGCAAAACGGCAACGUUAAGCAAAUCCCGAAAAGAUGCCUCAGUUCGGAUUGCACUCUGCAACUCGAGUGCAUGAAGCUGGAAUUACUAGUAAUCGUGGAUCAGCGUGCCACGGUGAAUGCGUUCCCGGGUCUUGUACACACCGCCCGUCUCACCAUGGGAGUUGGUUCUACCUUAAGGCAAGGUUUUAAACCCUUGACCACGGUAUAGUCAGCGACUGGGGUGAAGUCGUAACAAGGUAGCCGUAGGGGAACCUGCGGCUGGAUUACCUCCUUUCU
rnacentral:rRNA from 1 species